CCGAGUUUACAACUCCCAAACCCAAUGUGAACAUACCCCAAUGUUGCCUCGGCGGGACCGCCCCGGCGCCCUCACCGGCCCGGAACCAGGCGCCCGCCGCAGGACCCAAACCUCUGAUUUUUAUAAGAUUUCUCCUCUGAGUGGAUUCUACAAAUAAAUCA
rnacentral:misc_RNA from 1 species